AUCCUUGCUAUCUGGGUGCUA
rnacentral:miRNA from 5 species